rnacentral:rRNA from 1 species
UACGUAGGGUGCAAGCGUUAAUCGGAAUUACUGGGCGUAAAGCGUGCGCAGGCGGUUGUGCAAGACCGAUGUGAAAUCUCCCGGCUCAACUGGGAGGGUGCGCUACAAACUGCCGGGCUAGAGUGCGGGAGAGGAGAGUGGAAUUCCUGGUGUAGCGGUGAAAUGCGUAGAUAUCAGGAGGAACACCGGUGGUGUAAACGGCUCUCUGGACCGUAACUGACGCUGAGGCACGAAAGCGUGGGUAGCAAACAGG